AGUGAACGCUGGCGGUAGGCCUAACACAUGCAAGUCGAACGGCAGCACAGUAAGAGCUUGCUCUUACGGGUGGCGAGUGGCGGACGGGUGAGGAAUACAUCGGAAUCUACUUUUUCGUGGGGGAUAACGUAGGGAAACUUACGCUAAUACCGCAUACGACCUACGGGUGAAAGCAGGGGAUCUUCGGACCUUGCGCGAUUGAAUGAGCCGAUGUCGGAUUAGCUAGUUGGCGGGGUAAUGGCCCACCAAGGCGACGAUCCGUAGCUGGUCUGAGAGGAUGAUCAGCCAAACUGGAACUGAGACACGGUCAAGACUCCUACGGGAGGCAGCAGUGGGGAAUAUUGGACAAUGGGGGCAAGACUGAUCCAGCCAUACCGCGUGGGUGAAGAAGGCCUUAGGGUUGUAAAGCCCUUUUGUUGGGAAAGAAAAGCAGCAGGUUAAUACCCCGCUGUUAUGACGGUACCCAAAGAAUAAGCACCGGCUAACUUCGUG
rnacentral:rRNA from 1 species